UACGGAGGGGGCUAGCGUUGUUCGGAAUUAUUGGGCGUAAAGGGCGCGUAGGCGGUGCUAUAAGUCUGUGGUGAAAUCUCUGGGCUCAACUCAGAGUCUGCCAUAGAAACUGUAGUGCUAGAGUGUGGGAGAGGUGAGUGGAAUUCCCCGGUGUAGCGGUGAAAUGCGUAGAUAUCGGGAGGAACACCGGUGGCGAAGGCGGCGAUCUGGGUCGAUACUGACGCU
rnacentral:rRNA from 1 species